AGAGUUUGAUCCUGGCUCAGGAUGAACGCUAGCUACAGGCUUAACACAUGCAAGUCGAGGGGCAGCAUUAACGAAAGCUUGCUUUUGUUAGAUGGCGACCGGCGCACGGGUGAGUAACGCGUAUCCAACCUGCCAUAUACAGAGGGAUAGCCUUGCGAAAGUAAGAUUAAUACCUCAUGGUUUAUAUUUGCCGCAUGGCGGAUAUAAUAAAGAUUUAUCGGUAUAUGAUGGGGAUGCGUCCCAUUAGAUAGUCGGCGGGGUAACGGCCCACCGAGUCGACGAUGGGUAGGGGUUCUGAGAGGAAGGUCCCCCACAUUGGAACUGAGACACGGUCCAAACUCCUACGGGAGGCAGCAGUGAGGAAUAUUGGUCAAUGGACGAGAGUCUGAACCAGCCAAGUAGCGUGCAGGAGGACGGCCCUAUGGGUUGUAAACUGCUUUAGUAUGGGAAUAAAGUCAUCCACGCGUGGAUGUUUGCAUGUACCAUAAGAAUAAGGACCGGCUAAUUCCGUGCCAGCAGCCGCGGUAAUACGGAAGGUCCGGGCGUUAUCCGGAUUUAUUGGGUUUAAAGGGAGCGUAGGCGGAUUUUUAAGUCAGUUGUGAAAGUUCACGGCCCAACCGUGAAAUUGCAGUUGAAACUGAAAGUCUUGAGUGCACGCAGGGAUGCUGGAAUUCGUGGUGUAGCGGUGAAAUGCUUAGAUAUCACGAAGAACUCCGAUCGCGAAGGCAUGUGUCCGGAGUGCAACUGACGCUGAGGCUCGAAAGUGUGGGUAUCAAACAGGAUUAGAUACCCUGGUAGUCCACACAGUAAACGAUGAAUACUCGCUGUUUGCGAUAUACAGUAAGCGGCCAAGCGAAAGCGUUAAGUAUUCCACCUGGGGAGUACGCCGGCAACGGUGAAACUCAAAGGAAUUGACGGGGGCCC
rnacentral:rRNA from 1 species